rnacentral:rRNA from 1 species
UACGUAGGGGGCGAGCGUUGUCCGGAUUUAUUGGGCGUAAAGAGCGUGUAGGCGGUUUGGUAGGUCCGUUGUGAAAACUCGAGGCUCAACCUCGAGACGCCGGCGGAAACCAUCAGGCUAGAGUCCGGAAGAGGAGAGUGGAAUUCCUGGUGUAGCGGUGAAAUGCGCAGAUAUCAGGAAGAACACCCGUGGCUAAGGCGGCUCUCUGGGACGGUACUGACGCUGAGACGCGAAAGCGUGGGGAGCGAACAGG